AGCAGUGUGGCGUAGUGGUAAGGCAUAGGGCUCAUAACCAAGAGGUGGCUGGUUCGAUUCCCUGCUGGGG